rnacentral:lncRNA from 1 species
GAAUGGACCCAGGAGACUGAAAUUCAAUUGUAAAUUAUUCUGUUUGGAAUCUAAACAAACCUGAGAGACAGAUAUUAUCUUAUAAAAAGGUCUGUCCAGUUGUUGUUACAUUACUCAGUCUUUGUUUCUUGAUAGAUAAUGAGAUUUCAGGGAUGGGACGGGAAGCAAUUGUUCCACUUGGUGGGUCAAGUCUUCAUGCAGCUAAGGGAAAAGCCUCUUCCAGCAUCCACUGGUCUCCAAUGGCCUUGAAUUUGAAAUAUUCAUCAUACCAGGAUGCCAUAUUUUGGGGUGAAAUUCUCCGGGCAUCUUCAUUUGUCAAGGCCAGCCCAGAGCCAUGUUUGUUGCAGAUGUUUCCCUGCAAGUCAUGCCAUUAAUUCAUUGAUUCCUCCUAGAGAUUAAUUCAUUCAUUCAUGUAUUCAUCAUAGAGGUGCUAGGUGUCUGCUACAUGCCAGGCAUUGUACCAGGUGCAAUGAAUUUUGAAACAAGCAAAAAUAGACCCUUACUCCCAGGAGUUUUAUCAUCCACUGGGAGGGGCAUGCAGGUAAAUAGAACCCAGAAGUCAACUUGAACUUCAGAUUUGUAUUUGCAUGUGUUUUCUCUGCUUUUGCCCGUUUCAACUUGCACACAGAAAUCCUUCUCUUUAGAGUUCCACAUCAGACAAUGUGUCUGUAAGCAAUAUAGACUUUAUGGGCAGCUUCGCACUGGGUGAUUUCACAUAGAGAGGGGACGGGCCUGGGUGAUUUCACAUAGAGAGGGGACGGGCCUGGGUGAUUUCACAUAGAGAGGGGACGGGCCUGGGUGGUUUCACAUAGAGAGGGGACGGGCCUGGGUGAUUUUCCAUAAAAUCCCGUCUCAGAAUAAUGGUCUGGCCUCUCAGGCAGGAACUUUCUGCAUAACCUUAUUUUGAAUGACCAAAGCUCAGCAUUGCCUGGGUGUCUCUUGGGAUUCCUCCUGUAACCGAGUUGAAUCUGCCCACAAUUUUCCCCUCUCCCCAUCUCAUCACGCCUC